rnacentral:rRNA from 1 species
AGAGUUUGAUCCUGGCUCAGAUUGAACGCUGGCGGCAUGCCUUACACAUGCAAGUCGAACGGCAGCACGGGGCAACCUGGUGGCGAGUGGCGAACGGGUGAGUAAUGCAUCGGAACGUGCCAUUGAGUGGGGGAUAACGUAGCGAAAGUUGCGCUAAUACCGCAUAUUCUGUGAGCAGGAAAGCAGGGGACCGCAAGGCCUUGCGCUCUUUGAGCGGCCGAUGUCAGAUUAGCUAGUUGGUGAGGUAACGGCUUACCAAGGCGACGAUCUGUAGCGGGUCUGAGAGGAUGAUCCGCCACACUGGAACUGAGACACGGUCCAGACUCCUACGGGAGGCAGCAGUGGGGAAUUUUGGACAAUGGGGGCAACCCUGAUCCAGCCAUGCCGCGUGAGUGAAGAAGGCCUUCGGGUUGUAAAGCUCUUUCGGCCGGGAAGAAAUCGCAUGGGCCAAUACCCUGUGUGGAUGACGGUACCGGAAUAAGAAGCACCGGCUAACUACGUGCCAGCAGCCGCAGUAAUACGUAGGGUGCGAGCGUUAAUCGGAAUUACUGGGCGUAAAGCGUGCGCAGGCGGUUUUGUAAGACAGGCGUGAAAUCCCCGGGCUCAACCUGGGAACUGCGUUUGUGACUGCAAGGCUAGAGUACGGUAGAGGGGGGUGGAAUUCCACGUGUAGCAGUGAAAUGCGUAGAGAUGUGGAGGAACACCAAUGGCGAAGGCAGCCCCCUGGGUCGAUACUGACGCUCAUGCACGAAAGCGUGGGUAGCAAACAGGAUUAGAUACCCUGGUAGUCCACGCCCUAAACUAUGUCAACUAGGUGUUGGGUGGGUAAAACCAUUUAGUACCGUAGCUAACGCGUGAAGUUGACCGCCUGGGGAGUACGGCCGCAAGGUUAAAACUCAAAGGAAUUGACGGGGACCCGCACAAGCGGUGGAUGAUGUGGAUUAAUUCGAUGCAACGCGAAAAACCUUACCUACCCUUGACAUGCCAGGAACUUGCCAGAGAUGGCUUGGUGCCCGAAAGGGAGCCUGGACACAGGUGCUGCAUGGCUGUCGUCAGCUCGUGUCGUGAGAUGUUGGGUUAAGUCCCGCAACGAGCGCAACCCUUGUCGUUAAUUGCCAUCAUUUAGUUGGGCACUUUAGCGAGACUGCCGGUGACAAACCGGAGGAAGGUGGGGAUGACGUCAAGUCCUCAUGGCCCUUAUGGGUAGGGCUUCACAC